rnacentral:rRNA from 1 species
GAUCAUGGCUCAGGAUGAACACUGGCGGCGUGCUUAACACAUGCAAGUCGAGCGAAGCACUUUACUUGGAUUUUCUUCGGAAUGACGAGUAUUGUGACUGAGCGGCGGACGGGUGAGGUAACCGCGUGGGUAACCUGCCUCAUACAGGGGGAUAACAGUUAGAAAUGACUGCUAAUACCGCAUAAGACCACAGCACCGCAUGGUGCAGGGGUAAAAACUCCGGUGGU